rnacentral:tRNA from 1 species
GCGGCCGUAGCUCAAUUUGGUUAGAGCACUCGCCUGUCACGCGAGAGGUUGCGAGUUCGAGUCUCGUCGGCCGCGCCA